GCAGAAUGGACCUUGUGGGUGGCAGCUGGGAUCCGCAGGGGGUGGGAAGGGGACUGACGAGCGCCCGGGGCCCGGGUUCUGGCCUGGCUUUGUCACAGGACAAAGGCAGCCCUCUGAGGAGGCCUUAGACGCCUCUGCGCCUGGAUUCCCACGUUGGCAGUGUCGCCGCUGCCCCACCCAGGGCAGCCUCAGCACAGUUUGGAGGCUUGCUUGUGGGUACUUUUUUAACUUCUCAACACUCUGAAUUCCUUUUUAAUUAACAUUGUUAGAUUUUUUAAUUAAUUUCCAAAGGAGUAUUGUCUUUCAGCUUUGAAAGCUUUAAAAUAGUUCAUUUAAGAUGUACAAAUGACAUCGAUGAAAAACAUCCUUGUAGCCCUGUAUGUGCCCUUCCAGGGCCCGAGGGACGCCUGCCUCGGCCUCUCUGGCGCCGUCCGCCCCGUCAUGGGGGUGGCAGUGGCCCCUCCUGGGCUCGGGCUUUGUGUGCGUGCGCUUCCUGCGCCCACGAAGUCCUUUGAGCAGCAGGCCGGGCAGGCAGCGUGAGCACAGGUGCUUGGCCCGGCGUGUCCGCUGCCAGCCCGAGGCCUGGGCCACCGCGCUGCUCGUUGGCUGUGCCAGCCGCCCAGCCUCCGCCGUCACACGCCUCCUCCCCGGGUUUCUCCCUCUGUCCACACUUGUCCCCGUUUCUCCUUUGCUCGGUCUCCCUUCCGGGACAGUUUCCUUCCGGAACAAGCCCUCCUGGAUGCAGAACCAGCCCUCCUGGAUGCGGACCUCAGCAGACCCCACCCAGCCCCCUGUUGACUCCGAUCCCCGUGGCAGCUGCAGUGACCCCGUCUCCAAAUAAUGUCACUCUGAGGUGUACUGGCACUUAGGCUUCAACUUAGGUAUUUGGGGCAGGACACGGUCUGACCCAUACAGUAUGCACAAGACUACUGCUCUCUCUCUCUCUCUCUUUGUUUUUAAGAUUUUAUUGAUUUAUUCGUGAGAGAGGCAGAGACACAGGCAGAGGGAGAAGCGGGCUCACUGCGGGGAGCCCGAUGCGGGACUCGAUCCCAGGCUCUGACCUUUGAACAAGCUAUUGCCCCACUGGAGCCUCUUCUCCUCUGCCAAAAAAAAAGAAAAAAGUUAGCUUGGGCAAGAGUAAUGGAGUACACGGGACUCGUGGCACGUUACAAGCACACACCUCUGCCGCCCGCAUAUGUGUCCCUGGGGGGCCCCAGCGAGCGAUUUUCAUGGGAAGCGCACAGUCUUUCUGCACAUCUAGUAGAUCAUUGGGAUCGGCCGUUGCCAGAUAUGGUGUGAGAGUGGUGAAAUGUGUCCGACCUCAGCCCGUGAGUCUGGGGAGUACGUCGCGCGGCUCUGGUACCUCCCUCACCGGGAAGUCGGGGAGCUCGCCACCUGCAGCACGGAUGCGGCCCUGCGGCCAGCUGACAGGCACCCAGAGCUGCUUGCUCCCCUGUGGACUUCCAGCCUUGAAUUCGAGGCUCCUUUCUUUUAAAACCCCUCUGCACAGAGAUAGGAUGAAGGCAAAAUACAGUCAAAAUGUUUGAAGAAAUCACAGGCUGAGGUUCAGGAUGAAUAAAUGAUGUGAAAACUUUGUGCGUGGCUUGGGGAGAGGGCUCCGGGCGGGCUGGUCCCCAGGGCCCGGGCGAUGGGGCCGGAGCACCGCUGGCCUCUUUGAAUAAACAGCCAGCAUCGCUGCCCCAGAAAGGCCGCACUUCCUUUUCUCGGGUUUGUUUACAUCUGGCUCCUGUUUGUUGCUAAAGCUUCUGUAACCAGACAACUGAGGAGGGGCGUCGGGGGACAGGAGGACAGAGUUUCACCUCUGAGCAUCUUGCAUCCCUGAACUUCUGUUUGUGGGAAUCCUUGCAUAGGGCCCCACCUGUCGCGGACAGACGGACCUUGUCAAGGAAGCUCUGCUUGAGCUUCCAGCUAAGGACUGUGUGAGCCCUGGACUGGACCGGAGGCCCCCACGAGGACGUGGUCACAAGCAGGCAGAGAAGAAAUACCAGGUGAUCCAUUCCUCAACGCCUCCCAAUCUGGCUUUCUCUACCAGAAGGUUCUCUGCUGCCAGGUGUUGUAUAGCAGGCCCCACCCUUAUGCCCUGUGUGGAAGAGGGGGCUGUGGAGCAGGGAGGGAGGACGUGGGCAGGGGAUGGCCUCGAGUGAGGAAGAUGCUGUUUCUCUGGUCCGUGCGCUCUUUGAAGCCUCUCCGACCAGGGCCAGCCCCACCAGGUCCCAGCUCACCGUCCCAUGUGCAGGGACAGCAGGUUCCUGGACCCCUACCCAGGGGUUGCUGGUCCUGGCCAGCUGAGCUGGAGGCGAGCCUGCCUUCUGCGCGCUGAGCCAGCAGGUGCCGUUCCCGGCCGUCCUGUCCCAGCACCUUCUGUCUUCAUCCCGUCCCCGUGUCCUGUGCGUCGGUGAGGAUGCUGCAUCCCCAGAGGAGGGUUUCUGUCCUCGAGAGAGCGGGGAGGCAGUGCGUUGAAGAUGACCCGCUGCUGGGGGGACAAUCCAGGUCGCCUGUCUUCAGACCUGGGAGAGAAGCUCAGAAACGGGCCGGCUUCAUUCCUCCGCUCGCAGGCUGCAGAAUUGAGGUCAUCGCGGUUCGGGUCCGGCCUUCACCGGAAGCGAAGAGGCAGGUUCCACGCCCAGAGGUGCAUCCUGCCACCUGCCGGGAAGGGGCGAUUCUCUCGUUGCCGUCGUUGGGUGAGGCGGGCGCCGGGCGUCCGAGCCUGGGCAGGUGCCGUCGGUCAGGUGGGCAGCGCUGGGGGCACAGCGGGAACGGGCCGGGGUGCCCGGGCUGCCUCGGGCCCUGAGGGGUAGGGCUUCGUCGUCGGUCCCCGCCGCUGCCGGGCCGUUGGUGGAGAAGCAGGUGGUGGCGGGCGCUCCCCGACCCAGGGCCGGGAGGAGCCGGGAGAAGCCCGGGGCAUGGGUUCCAGGCCGCGGGGGCCUCUGCGAGCAGCUCCUGCAGGUGCUGCCGAACCGGGAGUGCUUUGCCCCGCUGGCGCGGAAUGUGGUUGGAGGCGGACGCCCCUUCCCACGCUGUAUGAAAAGUGGGGAAAUCACUGAGCCCCUGCAGCCGCAGCGUUUCCUCCCGGGCUUCAUCGCAAACUCGGGACUGUGAAGGAGCGGUUUCCUCCCAGAUCCGACCGCGGAGGGGUUCGGUGGACGCUGGCGUUGCUGGAGCGAGGGGACCCCCUUACCCCGGGGGGAGCCGCCUGGGCUGGCCCGGGCCCUGGGGAAAGAGCCGAAAUGCCUGGGUUUGGCAGGUUUGUGCCGAAGGUGAGAAUCUGUGGUAUCACGUGCUGUCCGCAAGGCUAGCUCCGUGGCUCAGGAGCGGAGACGGCCAGGGCCCCGCUUGCCUCCAGAGAGCAGAGGCGCGCCGGGCGUCUGGAGCCAGAUCUCCCACGAUCGUUAGGUGGUGCCCAGACUGGUUCCGUGGUCCCAGGCGGCAGUCCCGGAGAAGGCACAUCUUCCCCUUCCUCGUGCGACGGGACUCGUUCUCCACCUCUCCCUCCCCCGUCACGUGUUGCAUCUGUUUUUCAGUGAAGGUGUAAUUUCCGUGCAGCAAAACUCACCCUUGGAAGACUACAGGCUUAGAGCUUUUGCCAAAUGCAUAUCCAGUCCCGUAACCACCAGUGCCAUCGAGACAGGAGAAAAGCCCAUCACCCCAAAGAGUCCCGGGCUGGGGAGAGAGACCUGUUGCCUGUCCAUGUACUUCUGCCCUCGCAGAGCUUGGUGGCUGUGGCCUGGGACAGCGUGCAGCCCUCGGAGCCUGGCUGCUUUCGCUCAGCACCGUGCCUCUGAGGUCCAUUUGUGCUAUUGGAUGCGUCGGUCGCUGGUUCUUUGUUGCUAACUAAUAUUCCAUUUUAAGAAUGAGUAGCCAUUGGCUUGGGCAUUCUCCCGUUGAGGAGCAUUUGAGUUGUUCCCAGGUUUUGAUGAUGACAACUGCAGCUACUGAGAAAUGUCUGCGUACGGUG